UUCAAAUUAACGUCAAAUUACUUUAUAAGCACUAGUGCGUAAAAAGACUUUCACCGGUGAGGCCUAUGUCACCAAGGAUAGUUACUUUAAUAGUCGCAAUAGCCACAUACGGGAUGCUCAAAAUCCUCAUGCAGCACGGCUAUUGGACAACGCCCAUGUUCCUCUAGGUCCACGAGCUAGAAUAUGGUUCCAACAUGGCACAUUUUUCUCGAAUUGCAGAUAAUCUUCUCAACCUGUAAACUCCCAAGUCUAGGAAGAAAAUCCACCUAUGUGAGGUUAAAGAUCGCCAUUCUAAAACGUUUUUUUAACUUUUAUAUUAUUGUUUUAUUAAUAAGAAAGCACUAAUAAUAAUUACUUUUAAGGGAAAUAUGCGUUGGAGCCAAAAAAUAGCUUAUUUUUCACUGGGGGUUCCUAGGCAAAUAUUGUUAACUAUAAUGUCCCAAACAACCCCCUUAAAUAUAGCACCACCUUUUUGGAACACUUUCUAGUAGAUAAUAUAUUUUUUGAACUCUUAAUAAUACUAUAAUGUCCUUGGUGAUUGUCCAUUGAAAAUAAGAACUCAACCAGAAAUGCUGCAUCUUGUCCUAGUGAUUUUUAUUGUAUAUGUUUUUGUGUGCCUGUCCUUUUUUUGUACUUCUUUGGGUCCGAAUAUAUGGUUUUUACACAUUUUUCUGGUAUUACUGUAAAGUAUUAGUAGUUUCGCUAGGUCUAAGCUGUUAUUAAAGCCUAAAAACUACCUUAUUGUACUUUGUUUUUCUUAAUGUUUAGAAUUUGUCUUGGGAGUUAAAUUGGUCGUUUUUUUAAUUGUUUUUAAUUUUUGGAGGAAGACUACUAAACUGUCUUAAUUGACUGGAGAUUGUAGUUGUGACCGCAGGUUGUUUUUGAAAUUUUGGAAGGUUUACCUUUUAUAGGGGAUAAAAGAAGUCCAAUUACAUUUCAAAUUUUGUCAUAGUCUUACUCCUGUUUGGAAAUUUUUCGCCCCAAAGGGGGUCUCAUAACAACCUUCAGAGGUUUAUCUAAGACCAAACCUACUGCAGCCAUUUCUUAGUGGCAAUCCUUGGUGGUUUUUGGUAACCCCCAUAUCUACUUCAUCCUAUUUUAAUCGAAGCUCUUCUUUCUGUUUUUUUUUGGUUUUGGAUUUAUCCGAACUUUGGUUUACCCUUUGGGCAAACUUUUUGGUUUUUGGAAUUCUGGUGUAUCUGGUGGUUGAGUUGAACCCUUGGGAUCUUUUGGAUCCUCACCACUGUUUCAGCUGUUUUCCCCGAUUGUGACGAACUGGUUUAGAACAUCUUAUCCGUUUAGUGACUAAAACCACUUAUAAGAGGAGUGGCGACUGCUUUCUACACUCGAUAGCAGCUUGACAUCAGCUAAGUACUCAAGGCUUAAUUCAAUAGUAAAAAGACUCUCUGUUAAUUUUUUUACCAUAGGCAGAUAACCGAUCUAGUUUUCAAUUUAAUAUUGUUAACGAUAAUAUUUAAAUUUCUUAGUUGAUUAAUCCCCUUGUAGAGUUUUCCUUUAAUAAAUUUACUCAAACUGAGUCACUUGGUGUUAUUACCUAUAAAGCACGUAUGAUCAUACUUCUCUACUAAAGAGCUAAAGCCCGAACCCAACCCUAAUGAUGACCUAAACCAAGUAAAAUUAAAUAAUUUUAUAAUGAAGCUGUUUCUUGCUUUUAUGCCCGGUUUACACAAGGCUAGUUUUUCAAGCUAGCGCUUUUAAACUAGCAAGCUAGUUUAAAAAAAUUUUAAGAAAUUUUGAAAAGCAGCGCGUUUUCUCGGCGCGCACAUAAAUAAACAGUCAAGAAAUCAUUUUUAAUUGCCAAGGCACCGCACCAUCAUUGUUAAAGUAGGUUUCAAAAGUCUCUCUUCUCGCCAUUGCUGACAUCGAAGAAUGAUUACUCCCUUGUUGACAUAGGCCUUCAAGUCCUGCAGUUUUUGUUCUCCAGGAGCCAUGGGAGGUGUUUCCUGCAUCAAUGUCUUCCCGGUCGACAUCACUGCUGAUUAAAUAAUUUCGAUUUUCUUUUCUCAACCAAUUGUGUAAAGCGCAUGCUGCUAAUACAAUUUUGUCGACUGUUUCUACAUUGGUUGCAAUUGGUUUCUGGAAUACACGAAAUCGGCUUACCAAUAUACCAAAGGCAUUUUCCACUAUUCUCUCGCUCUGGAUAGUCGGUAGUUGUAAACUUUCUGUUCCAGUGUUAAAUUGUCACCAGGGUAAGGUUUCAUAAUAUAGGUUUUUAAUGGAAAUGCGACAUCCGCAACAAUCACUCCACCCUCUGGUAAAAGAUUAUUCUCUAGUUUAUUAUAUAUGGAGCAAUUUUUAAAUACACUUCCAUCUGAUCCAAUCGACGAGAUUAAGUUAGAUUUUUUAAAAGCAAUGACGCCAGGACAAUGAGAAUCCUAUUGCUAUAGUAUUCCGCAAUGCAUAAUUUUUUUACUACCUUAGGUAUUUAUAAUAUUAUGAUAAAUACAAAUAUAAAGUUAUUAUUAGUACUAAA
rnacentral:lncRNA from 1 species